CAGCAGCCGCGGGAAUACAGAGGGUGCGAGCGUUAAUCGGAUUUACUGGGCGUAAAGCGUGCGUAGGCGGCUUCUUAAGUCGGAUGUGAAAUCCCUGAGCUUAACUUAGGAAUUGCAUUCGAUACUGGGAAGCUAGAGUAUGGGAGAGGAUGGUAGAAUUCCAGGUGUAGCGGUGAAAUGCGUAGAGAUCUGGAGGAAUACCGAUGGCGAAGGCAGCCAUCUGGCCUAAUACUGACGCUGAGGUACGAAAGCAUGGGGAGCAAACAGGAUUAGAUACCCGCGUAGUCCCUGUCUCUUAUAA
rnacentral:rRNA from 1 species